AACGCACAUUGCGCCCGCCAGCAUUCUGGCGGGCAUGCCUGUCCGAGCGUCAUUACAACCCUCAGGCCCUGCCUGGCGUUGGAGGACUGCGCUGCAGCCUCCCAAAGCGAGCGGCGGCGGCGCCCCACAACCGAACGCAGUAUUGUAUCUCGUUCUGGGUCUGGGACGUCGUCCGGCCGGAAAACACCCCCUUUGACGUGGUUGACCUCGGAUCAGGUAGGAAUACCCGCUGAACUUAA
rnacentral:misc_RNA from 1 species